GCAAGUCGAACGGCAGCACGGACUUCGGUCUGGUGGCGAGUGGCGAACGGGUGAGUAAUAUAUCGGAACGUGCCCAGUCGUGGGGGAUAACGUAGUGAAAAUUACGCUAAUACCGCAUACGAUCUAAGGAUGAAAGCGGGGGAUCGCAAGACCUCGCGCGAUUGGAGCGGCCGAUAUCAGAUUAGGUAGUUGGUGAGGUAAAGGCUCACCAAACCAACGAUCUGUAGCUGGUCUGAGAGGACGACCAGCCACACUGGAACUGAGACACGGUCCAGACUCCUACGGGAGGCAGCAGUGGGGAAUUUUGGACAAUGGACGCAAGUCUGAUCCAGCCAUUCCGCGUGCAGGACGAAGGCCUUCGGGUUGUAAACUGCUUUUGUGCAGAACGAAAAGGUCUCUAUUAAUACUAGGGGCUCAUGACGGUACUGUAAGAAUAAGCACCGGCUAACUACGUGCCAGCAGCCGCGGUAAUACGUAGGGUGCAAGCGUUAAUCGGAAUUACUGGGCGUAAAGCGUGCGCAGGCGGUUAUAUAAGACAGAUGUGAAAUCCCCGGGCUCAACCUGGGAACUGCAUUUGUGACUGUAUAGCUGGAGUGCGGCAGAGGGGGAUGGAAUUCCGCGUGUAGCAGUGAAAUGCGUAGAUAUGCGGAGGAACACCGAUGGCGAAGGCAAUCCCCUGGGCCUGCACUGACGCUCAUGCACGAAAGCGUGGGGAGCAAACAGGAUUAGAUACCCUGGUAGUCCACGCCCUAAACGAUGUCAACUGGUUGUUGGGUCUUCACUGACUCAGUAACGAAGCUAACGCGUGAAGUUGACCGCCUGGGGAGUACGGCCGCAAGGUUGAAACCCAAAGGAAUUGACGGGGACCCGCACAAGCGGUGGAUGAUGUGGUUUAAUUCGA
rnacentral:rRNA from 1 species